rfam:Enterobacter aerogenes KCTC 2190, complete genome.
AUUGCCAGAAGAGGUGCGUUGCCCAGGUAACCGUAUUGGAGGAACCAGUCCGGGGAUAAUACGUGAGGGGGAGCAACGCCGAGGCGCACAGACAUCUGGUUAAGUCUGUCGCCGGCCACAGGGGCUGAAUCCCCUGGGUUGUCACCAGAAGCGUUCGCAGUCGGGCGUUUCAUACUCGCGAACCGAUGCGCGUCAUCGGCGAACGGGUCUACAAGGUGGAGCACUUCUGGGUGA